rnacentral:rRNA from 1 species
AACGAACGCUGGCGGCAUGCCUAACACAUGCAAGUCGAACGAUGCUUUCGGGUAUAGUGGCGCACGGGUGCGUAACGCGUGGGAAUCUGCCCUUAGGUUCGGAAUAACAGUUAGAAAUGACUGCUAAUACCGGAUGAUGUCGAUAAGACCAAAGAUUUAUCGCCUGAGGAUGAGCCCGCGUAGGAUUAGCUAGUUGGUGUGGUAAGAGCGCACCAAGGCGACGAUCCUUAGCUGGUCUGAGAGGAUGAUCAGCCACACUGGGACUGAGACACGGGCCCGACUCCUAAGGGGGGCAGGAGUGGGGAAUUUUGGACAAUGGGCGCAAGCCUGAACCCGCGAUGCCGCGUUGGUGAUGGAGGGCUUAGGGUUGUAAAGCUCUUUUACCCGUUCUGAUAAUGACAGUAGCGGGAGAAUAAGCCCCGGCUAACUCCGUGCCAGCCGCCGCAGUAA